GAUGAACGCUAGCGGCAGGCCUAACACAUGCAAGUCGAGGGGUAGAACACUUCGGUGUUUGAGACCGGCGCACGGGUGCGUAACGCGUAUGCAAUCUACCUUGUACAGGGGAAUAGCCCAGAGAAAUUUGGAUUAAUGCCCCAUAGUAUAUAACCUUCGCAUGUUGGUUAUAUUAAAGUUCCAACGGUACAAGAUGAGCAUGCGUCCCAUUAGUUAGUUGGUAAGGUAACGGCUUACAAAGACGAUGAUGGGUAGGGGUCCUGAGAGGGAGAUCCCCCACGCUGGUACUGAGACACGGACCAGACUCCUACGGGAGGCAGCAGUGAGGAAUAUUGGUCAAUGGGCGCAAGCCUGAACCAGCCAUGCCGCGUGCAGGAAGACGGUCCUAUGGAUUGUAAACUGCUUUUAUACAGGAAGAAACCCUCCCACGUGUGGGAGAUUGACGGUACUGUAGGAAUAAGGAUCGGCUAACUCCGUGCCAGCCGCCGCCGUAAAAC
rnacentral:rRNA from 1 species